GGGGGAAUAGGAUAAUGGUAGUCCAUCGUGCUUGCACCACGAAAGUAAGAGUUCGAUUCUCUUUUUCUCCA